rnacentral:rRNA from 1 species
GACGAACGCUGGCGGCGUGCUUAACACAUGCAAGUCACGGGGGUCCCGCAAGGGAUAACCGGCGAACGGGUGCGUAACACGUGAACAACCUGCCCUCGUGUGGGGGAUAGCCAUGCUAACGCGUGGGUAAUACCGCAUACGUUCUUCUGGGGGGAGUCCCUGGGAGAGGAAAGCUCCGGCGCACGGGGAGGGGUUCGCGGCCUAUCAGCUAGUUGGCGAGGUAAUGGCUCACCAAGGCGACGACGGGUAGCUGGUCUGAGAGGAUGGCCAGCCACAUUGGGACUGAGAGACGGCCCAGACUCCUACGGGAGGCAGCAGUGGGGAAUCUUGCGCAAUGGCCGAAAGGCUGACGCAGCGACGCCGCGUGUGGGAGGACGCCUUUC